rnacentral:rRNA from 1 species
CAGCCCUUGACAUGGCAGGACGGUUUCCAGAGAUGGAUUCCUUCACUUCGGUGACCUGCACACAGGUGCUGCAUGGCUGUCGUCAGCUCGUGUCGUGAGAUGUUGGGUUAAGUCCCGCAACGAGCGCAACCCUCGCCUUUAGUUGCCAUCAUUUAGUUGGGCACUCUAGAGGGACUGCCGGUGAUAAGCCGGAGGAAGGUGGGGAUGACGUCAAGUCUUCAUGGCCCUUACGGGCUGGGCUACACACGUGCUACAAUGGCGGUGACAGAGGGCAGCUAGUCCGCGAGGACAUGCUAAUCCCAAAAAGCCGUCUCAGUUCGGAUUGCACUCUGCAACUCGAGUGCAUGAAGUUGGAAUCGCUAGUAAUCGUGGAUCAGCACGCCACGGUGAAUACGUUCCC